rnacentral:rRNA from 1 species
UGGUGGAGUGAUUUGUCUGGUUGAUUCCGUUAACGAACGAGACCUCAGCCUGCUAAAUAGUUAUGCGAAUCUCUCACUCAAGGUUAGCAGACGGGUGUGGCUUGGGCCUCUCCCUCGGGAGGGGAUUCUCCAUGGCUGCAUGUCUGGAAGCGCCUGAAUAGAUUCGCAGAGCAACUUCUUAGAGGGACUAAUGGUGUUUAGCCAUUGGAAGUUUGAGGCAA